UUGAUUGACAUCUGUUGACAUCGAAGCAAAAGCCUCACGUGUGCAUCGCGCUGAAAUCAUUAGCUUUCAUCUGCAUAACAAAGACCGACCGGAAAAACCCACGUGAACGGCUCUGAAGUCUAUUCUAAGUGAUACUCGUGUCUUCGCCGUUACUGUAACCGACACUCGAAACUGAGCAAGGCUCAUUCACUUUUGGUAUAAAAGCAAAGCGAGAAUUUGGCUAUUAUUUUACAGCAACUAAUUACAAGACAACAAAAGGAAGAGUAGCAACAAGUGAAAGAUGUUUUGAAAGAGCAGGUAAACACUGGAACAGACCGUCGCGUGAAUAUGAGAACGGCAAUCGUACCGAAGAGCGCCGAGGCCGUAAGAAAUACCAAACGAUCCGCAGAAUGCCAGAAACUCUAUAAUUGCCAAGGCGAUGGAGCAGAUUGAAUAGGAGCCAGAGCGCAAUGAAAAGUGAGCGAAAGUGAUUACUAUGGACUAUACACUAUGUCAUCAGGAAACUGUGGGGAGAUGGAUAUGGAGGAUGGAGAGAGCCGGGUGUUUUUGAUGGUGAAGCCCCUGGGAAAGAAAAGAUUUGAGGAGAGUGAAACAAGAGUUGAACAGGAGGCAUGUGGCGGGCCUGACUAGAAGGGCCCAGCAGAAGUGUCUGCGCAGGGUAAGAAGCUUUAAGUUUUCAAACCGCCCUUGUCCCUCAUGCCCAGUCAGGUGGGAAGUCCUGAGGAAAAGGGAGACAUCCCUACCUCCCCUCUCACCCCUUCCUUGGCAGCGCCUGCCACCAUUGGAAAAAAACGCCCAGAACAUCACAAAGGUCAUCAUGAGCACUAACUUAGUUGAGACUUUUACAGUAUUAGUACAGUAAUUGUUAAUUUUUACAGUUGGUCUUAUCAGAUUGAGCGUUAUAUUAUAUAUUUAUAGUGUAUUUUAAUUUCCAUUUUGUUUCAGUUGCUUUUAGCAGAUUGAUUGCAAUAUAUAUUUAUAGAAAAA